rnacentral:rRNA from 1 species
AUUGAACGCUGGCGGCAGGCCUAACACAUGCAAGUCGAACGAGUGGCGGACGGGUGAGUAAUGUCUGGGAAACUGCCCGAUGGAGGGGGAUAACUACUGGAAACGGUAGCUAAUACCGCAUACCAUCGGAUGUGCCCAGAUGGGAUUAGCUUGUAGGUGAGGUAACGGCUCACCUAGGCGACGAUCCCUAGCUGGUCUGAGAGGCUGAUCAGCCACGCUGGAACGGAGGCACGGUCCAGACUCCUACGGGAGGCAGCGGUGGGGAAUAUUGCACAAUGGGCGCAAGCCUGAUGAAGCCAUGCCGCGUGUAUGAAGAAGGCCUGCGGGUUGUAAAGUAGUUUCAGCGGGGAGGCGUUACCCGCAGGAGAAGCACCGGCUAACUCCGUGCCAGCCGCCGCGGUAAUAC